CUCUCGUCACUCUCUUCUCUGCUCUCUCGUCACUCUCACCUCUCUCGCCGCCUUCCCUGCGCUCACUUCGCCAGUGGUAGAAGAAGACGGAACCAGCAUCUUGUCCCUCGGGUGGUGGUGGUCUUCGUCUUCUUGUUUUGGCCAUUAAUUCAGUUGGUCAGUUUUCUUCACCGUCGAUCCCAAGUGAGUUUCCUUCGGCCCUGUUCUUUCAAUGUUAAUUUCGAUGUAUCUUAGGGUUUCAUAGUGAAAUUAGAAUUUUAUGGUGGUGGUGGUUGUUGUUGUAUGUGGAUUUUUUUUAUUAAUUGUUGAAGCU